UGUAUAUGAUGAUAUAAAUAAUCACCAUCUUUCGACUGAGAACUGUGAUGGCAAUUUCUUGCUGAAAGAAACU